GAUAUUAUCCAAAGCUUUAUGAAAUCAACAGGAUGCUACAACAGGGCGAAGGCUCAACAAUACCUUGAUUUAGCAGAGGGUGAACUUGAGACAGCGACAGCGCUAUAUAAAUCAGAAACAGCUCGUUCCCGAGGCGCCUGCAACUACAUCGAGACCUGCAAAUGUCAGCUCAUCAACAGACACAAGAGUUAUGACGAUGGCAGAUUUGAAUAGGGCAUCUAAUCAACAUUUGGAUGAUGCGGAUCGCUCGAACAACUACUAUGCAGGCGGUUCCAGCAAUAGUGGUAUCCAAAUCAGCGGCUAUGACAGAGGAAGCGACGUCAAAAAACUGGUAUUUGACGUAUUCGAAAAUGCAAAAAAGUGAGUACCGUUUUAUGUUUUGUAUUCUCGCAAAAAGUGUACUAAUACACAA